AGUGACUUAAAAUACGUCAGAUAUUUGCGGACAUAUAUAUCUUGGGACAACCAAAUUGAUGUUUGUAUUAAUUAAAAAUAAAUUAGUAUAUUAUAUUCUUAUUUUUUAGGAAAGACGAGUAAUAAACACUUUCUGUCAUGGACGGAUGUUGCGAUAUAUCACUUCCCACAGAUUAUAUAAGUUCAUAAUAUGCAGUGUAACCAGUUACAAAUAAAAAUGGUUUCAUAAAAAGGCGGUAUCAAGAUUUCAGUACAGUUCCUAUUUGGCAGAUAUUAUAGUGUUGCCAGCGAAAAAAGAUAUCAUUUAUUGAGGUCGCAUUUCAAACAAUAAUGACUUAACAAUAAUUAUAACACUAUUGUUGUAAUUUUUGUAACAAUUCUAUAUUAUCUAGAUUUGUAUGAAAAAAAUAACAAAAAACUAUAUAUAUAUUCUAUAGCUUAGUUUCCGGUUUGGGCCCCUGUUUCCGUAGUCGCCGUCGCCCCGGACACGCGUAGUCGUAUUCGUGUCGCGGCCCGUACGGGAAUUCCCCGUAUGUAGGCGGCUGUAUCUGAGAGCCCGCAGAACAGUUGGAGCGGUGAUCGCUGUCGUUAUCAGCGCUAUCUACAUCACCUGAGAUAAUAAGAAAAAUUGAUAAUGAUGUGCCUUUGAGAUACAAGUUGCACGAUAAUUGACGAUAGAUGUCGCUAUAUAUGAUAUCAUUUGGUGUCGCAUUGUACGGAAAUUCAUUUUUUGAUAAUGUCUUUCUUUUAUUAUCUAAACCAGAUCUAAAAUAUUAUCUAAGUAUAUAUUUUAUAUUAAUAAGAAAAUUAUGACUUCACAUAUAAUAUUAUUUAAUUGAUUAAAGUCAUUUUCAAUA